GACGAACGCUGGCGGUGUGCUUAACACAUGCAAGUCGAACGGUAAGGCCCUUUCGGGGGUACACGAGUGGCGAACGGGUGAGUAACACGUGAGUAACCUGCCCUCAUCUCUGGGAUAACAGUCGGAAACGGUUGCUAAUACUGGAUAUGAGCUUGCAAGGCAUCUUGUGGGUUGGAAAGAUUUUUUUGAUUGGGGAUGGACUCGCGGCCUAUCAGCUUGUUGGUGAGGUAGUGGCUCACCAAGGCUUCGACGGGUAGCCGGCCUGAGAGGGCGACCGGCCACAUUGGGACUGAGAUACGGCCCAAACUCCUACGGGAGGCAGCAGUGGGGAAUAUUGCACAAUGGACGGAAGUCUGAUGCAGCAACGCCGCGUGCGGGAUGACGGCCUUCGGGUUGUAAACCGCUUUCAAUUGUGACGAAGCUUUUUGUGACGGUAGCAGUAGAAGAAGCACCGGCUAACUACGUG
rnacentral:rRNA from 1 species